CAACAUUCACGGGAACCAUUCUUUCAAAACCUUCAAGUUCAAAAACCACUUCCUCAAACAUCUCAUUUAAUUUCUACAAUUCGCUAAAGCUCAAGAACCUAGAAAAUGAGUUGCCUGAAAUACAGCAGAACUGCACGCCAAAAGGCUAACAUCAAGUACGGUCACCAAAGCAAGAAGGUCCCAGGGGAUAAGACGGCUGGGAAAGGCUUUCCACUGAGCAUGGGGCAGCGGGCAGCAACGCCUCCACAGUCACCCACCCCAUGC
rnacentral:lncRNA from 1 species